rnacentral:rRNA from 1 species
AACGAACGCUGGCGGCAGGCUUAACACAUGCAAGUCGAGCGCCCCGCAAGGGGAGCGGCAGACGGGUGAGUAACGCGUGGGAAUCUACCCAUCUCUACAGAAUAACGCAUGGAAACGUGUGCUAAUACCGUAUACGUCCUUCGGGAGAAAGAUUUAUCGGAGAUGGAUGAGCCCGCGUUGGAUUAGCUAGUUGGUGGGGUAAAGGCCUACCAAGGCGACGAUCCAUAGCUGGUCUGAGAGGAUGAUCAGCCACACUGGGACUGAGACACGGCCCAGACUCCUACGGGAGGCAGCAGUGGGGAAUAUUGGACAAUGGGCGCAAGCCUGAUCCAGCCGUGCCGCGUGAGUGAUGAAGGCCCUAGGGUUGUAAAGCUCUUUCACCGGUGAAGAUAAUGACGGUAACCGGAGAAGAAGCCCCGGCUAACUUCGUGCCAGCAGCCGCGGUAACAC